rnacentral:misc_RNA from 1 species
GAAGUGCGAUACCUAGUGUGAAUUGCAGAGCCUCGUGAAUCACCGAGAUCUUGAACGCAACAUGCGGCGUGGACUCGUGCCAUGCCAUCGGUACUCGAGUGUCAAUAAACUACCGAGUCAAAUAACAAAAUCCACCGGGGCAAUACCCUGUGCGGUUUUACUGUUGAGGAGUGCGUACACCCAUGUACCCGCUUCUUUAAAUUUACCGAGGCAGUGCCAGGUACAAAGAAGAACCCUAUCAGGCUAUUUUUUUACAAGGCACUCCCGGUUAUCCUUACCGAGGGAAUUCAGUUCGACCUCGGGUACCGAAGAUGACCCGCUGAAUUUAAGC